CAUGCAAGUCGAACGGAAAGAAUGGUUUCGCAAGAAAUUGUUCAAUUAGUGGCGGACGGGUGAGUACAAGCAGGGAACGUACCCUAAACUAUCGCAUAGCUCGUCGAAAGACGGGGUAAUUCGGUAUGUGAUCGCAAGAUUAAAGUCGCAAGACGGUUUAGGAGCGGCCCUGUGCUUAUCAGCUUGUUGGUGGGGUAAAAGCCUACCAAGGCUAUGACGAGUAGGGGGUGUGAGAGCACGACCCCCCACAAUGGCACUGAGACACGGGCCAUACGUCUACGGAUGGCAGCAACUGGGAAUAUUCGGCAAUGGGCGAAAGCCUGACCGAGCGACACCGCGUGAAGGAUGAAGUAUUUCGGUAUGUAAACUUCUUUUGCCAAAGGGUCGACCUUCGGCGAAUAAGCACCUACAAACUACGUGCCAGCAGUCGCGGUAAUACGUAGGGUGCAAGCGUUAUCCGGAUUCACUGGGCGUAAAGAGUCGUGUAGGUGGUUCAUCGCAUCGUACUUGAAAGCCCGGGGCUCAACCCCGGCGUUGGGUACGAGAUGGGUAGACUUGAGGGUGGUAGAGGAAAGAGGAACUCAUGGUGGAGCAGUGAAAUGCGUUGAGAUCAUGAGGAACACCAAAGGCGUAAGCAUCUUUCUGGACCACUCCUGACACUGAGACACGAAAGCUAGGGGAGCGAAGCAGAUUAGAUACCUGCGUAGUCCUAGCCCUAAACGCAUGCCUGCUAGAUGUUCCGCCCGCAAAGUGCAAAAACUUUUUUGCUUUUUGUGGGUGGAGUGUCGUUAAGCUAACGCGUUAAGCAGGCCGCCUGGGGAGUACGAUCGCAAGAUUAAAACUCAAAGGAAUUGACGGGGACCCGCACAACCGGUGGAGCGUGUGGUUCAAUUCGAGACAAAGCGAAGCACCUAACCAAGUUUUGACAUGCUACCGUUUUAACCACCUGGAAACAGGAGGCUAUCCGCAAGGAUGGUAGCACAGCUGCUGCAUGGCUGUCGUCAGCUCGUGCCGUGAGGUGUUCCCUUAAGUGGGCCAACGAGCGCAACCCGUGUCCAAUGUUACAAGUGUCAUUGGAGACUGCCCCCUUUGAAGGGGGGAGGAAGGAACGGACGACGUCAAGUCAGCACGGCGCUUAUAACUUGGGUCACACACACCCUACAAUGGCGAAAAACAAUGAGACGCAAGGCGGUAACGCUACGCAAAUCUCCUAUAAAUUUCGCCUCAGUUCAGAUUGAGGUCUGCAACCCGACCUCAUGAAGUCGGAAUCGGUAGUAAUCGCAGAUCAGCAGGCUGCGGUGAAUACGUUCUCGGGUCUUGUACACACCGCCCGUCAAGCCACCAAAGUUGGAGGCGGCCGAAGAGCCCCGCAAGGGGAGCUAAGCCGAAUUCAGCGAUGGGGACUAAGUCGUAACAAGGUAACC
rnacentral:rRNA from 1 species